rnacentral:rRNA from 1 species
CAGCCGCCGCGGUAAUACGGAGGGGGCUAGCGUUGUUCGGAAUUAUUGGGCGUAAAGCGCACGUAGGCGGCUUUGUAAGUCAGAGGUGAAAGCCCGGGGCUUAACCCCGGAAUUGCCUUUGAGACUGCAUCGCUUGAAUCCAGGAGAGGUGAGUGGAAUUCCGAGUGUAGAGGUGAAAUUCGUAGAUAUUCGGAAGAACACCAGUGGCGAAGGCGGCUCACUGGACUGGUAUUGACGCUGAGGUGCGAAAGCGUGGGGAGCAAACAGGAUUAGAUACCCCUGUAGUCCCUGUCUCUUAUAC